AAAAAGCGCCGGCUAACUACGUGCCAGCAGCCGCGGUAAUACGUAGGGCGCAAGCGUUAUCCGGAAUUAUUGGGCGUAAAGAGCUCGUAGGCGGUUUGUCGCGUCUGCUGUGAAAUCCGGAGGCUCAACCUCCGGCCUGCAGUGGGUACGGGCAGACUAGAGUGCGGUAGGGGAGAUUGGAAUUCCUGGUGUAGCGGUGGAAUGCGCAGAUAUCAGGAGGAACACCGAUGGCGAAGGCAGAUCUCUGGGCCGUAACUGACGCUGAGGAGCGAAAGGGUGGGGAGCAAACAGGCUUAGAUACCCUGGUAGUCCACCCCGUAAACGUUGGGAACUAGUUGUGGGGUCCAUUCCACGGAUUCCGUGACGCAGCUAACGCAUUAAGUUCCCCGCCUGGGGAGUACGGCCGCAAGGCUAAAACUCAAAGGAAUUGACGGGGACCCGCACAAGCGGCGGAGCAUGCGGAUUAAUUCGAUGCAACGCGAAGAACCUUACCAAGGCUUGACAUAUACGAGAACGGGCCAGAAAUGGUCAACUCUUUGGACACUCGUAAACAGGUGGUGCAUGGUUGUCGUCAGCUCGUGUCGUGAGAUGUUGGGUUAAGUCCCGCAACGAGCGCAACCCUCGUUCUAUGUUGCCAGCGCGUAAUGGUGGGAACUCAUGGGAUACUGCCGGGGUCAACUCGGAGGAAGGUGGGGAUGACGUCAAAUCAUCAUGCCCCUUAUGUCUUGGGCUUCACGCAUGCUACAAUGGCCGGUACAAAGGGCUGCAAUACCGCGAGGUGGAGCGAAUCCCAAAAAGCCGGUCCCAGUUCGGAUUGAGGUCUGCAACUCGACCUCAUGAAGUCGGAGUCGCUAGUAAUCGCAGAUCAGCAACGCUGCGGUGAAUACGUUCCCGGGUCUUGUACACACCGCCCGUCAAGUCAUGAAAGUCGGUAACACCUGAAGCCGGUGGCCUAACCCUUGUGGAGGGAGCCGUCGAAGCGGAUUCG
rnacentral:rRNA from 1 species